rnacentral:rRNA from 1 species
AUUGAACGCUGGCGGCAUGCCUUACACAUGCAAGUCGAACGGUAACAGGUCUUCGGAUGCUGACGAGUGGCGAACGGGUGAGUAAUACAUCGGAACGUGCCCGAGAGUGGGGGAUAACGAGGCGAAAGCUUUGCUAAUACCGCAUACGAUCUCAGGAUGAAAGCAGGGGACCGCAAGGCCUUGCGCUCACGGAGCGGCCGAUGGCAGAUUAGGUAGUUGGUGGGAUAAAAGCUUACCAAGCCGACGAUCUGUAGCUGGUCUGAGAGGACGACCAGCCACACUGGGACUGAGACACGGCCCAGACUCCUACGGGAGGCAGCAGUGGGGAAUUUUGGACAAUGGGCGCAAACCUGAUCCAGCCAUGCCGCGUGCAGGAUGAAGGCCUUCGGGUUGUAAACUGCUUUUGUACGGAACGAAAAGACUCUGGUUAAUACCUGGGGUCCAUGACGGUACCGUAAGAAUAAGCACCGGCUAACUACGUGCCAGCAGCCGCGGUAAAAC